CAGGCUGGCUUCGAACUCUUGGGCUCGGUGAUCCGCCUGCCUCGGCCUCCCAAAGUGCUGGGGUUGCAGGCCUGAGCCACCACGCCCGGCUCGUUCGGCUUUAUUGUACUCAGUCUUCAGAACCCAGUGCAGGUUUUAUUGUUAGAGGCCUCUCUGCUAGGACUCUCUGCUAGGACUCCCUGCCUUUCCAGUACUCCCUGUUCACAUGUGGCUGGCGGCUCCCACAGAGGCCAGGGCAGGGCCAAAGGGGAAGGAGUACAGUGACUUGGGGCAGGAGGAAUGGGUUGGGGCAGAGGACGUCGCCAGGGUCUGGGCCUGCGAGGACUGGAUGGGCGCGGAUGGCGUCGGGGCGCCCCGAGGAGCUGUGGGAGGCCGUGGUGGGGGCCGCUGAGCGCUUCCGGGCCCGGACUGGCACGGAGCUGGUGCUGCUGACCGCGG
rnacentral:lncRNA from 10 species